rnacentral:rRNA from 1 species
ACGGAAGGCAGCAGUGGGGAAUAUUGCACAAUGGGGGAAACCCUGAUGCAGCGACGCCGCGUGAGUGAAGAAGUAUUUCGGUAUGUAAAGCUCUAUCAGCAGGGAAGAAAAUGACGGUACCUGACUAAGAAGCCCCGGCUAACUACGUGCCAGCAGCCGCGGUAAUACGUAGGGGGCAAGCGUUAUCCGGAUUUACUGGGUGUAAAGGGAGCGUAGACGGCAUGGCAAGUCUGAUGUGAAAGCCCGGAGCUCAACUGCGGGUGUGCAUUGGAAACUGUCGAGCUAGAGUGCAGGAGAGGUAAGUGGAAUUCCUAGUGUAGCGGUGAAAUGCGUAGAUAUUAGGAGGAACACCAGUGGCGAAGGCGGCUUACUGGACUGUAACUGACGUUGAGGCUCGAAAGCGUGGGGAGCAAACAGGAUUAGAUACCCUGGUA